rfam:Termitomyces sp. J132 unplaced genomic scaffold scaffold535, whole genome shotgun sequence.
GGGCACAUGGUGUAGCUGGUUAUCACGCUCGCUUUGCAUAUUGACUUGCGAGUGGUCUCCGGUUCGAUUCCGGAUGUGUCCA